rnacentral:rRNA from 1 species
GACGAACGCUGGCGGCGUGCUUAACACAUGCAAGUCGAACGUGAUUUUUGUGGAAAUUCUUUCGGGAAUGGAAAUGAAAUGAAAGUGGCGAACGGGUGAGUAACACGUGAGCAACCUACCUUACACAGGGGGAUAGCCGUUGGAAACGACGAUUAAUACCGCAUGAGACCACAGAAUCGCAUGAUAUAGGGGUCAAAGAUUUAUCGGUGUAAGAAGGGCUCGCGUCUGAUUAGCUAGUUGGAAGGGUAAAGGCCUACCAAGGCGACGAUCAGUAGCCGGUCUGAGAGGAUGAACGGCCACAUUGGAACUGAGACACGGUCCAAACUCCUACGGGAGGCAGCAGUGGGGAAUAUUGCACAAUGGGGGGAACCCUGAUGCAGCGACGCCGCGUGAGCGAAGAAGGUUUUCGAAUCGUAAAGCUCUGUCCUAUGAGAAGAUAAUGACGGAUUCAUAGGAGGAG